rnacentral:rRNA from 1 species
UACGAAGGGUGCAAGCGUUAAUCGGAAUUACUGGGCGUAAAGCGUGCGCAGGCGGUCUGUUAAGACAGAUGUGAAAUCCCCGGGCUUAACCUGGGAACUGCAUUUGUGACUGGCAGGCUAGAGUAUGGCAGAGGGGGGUAGAAUUCCACGUGUAGCAGUGAAAUGCGUAGAGAUGUGGAGGAAUACCGAUGGCGAAGGCAGCCCCCUGGGCCAAUACUGACGCUCAUGCACGAAAGCGUGGGGAGCAAACAGG